rnacentral:lncRNA from 1 species
AGGGAUAGGGCUUCACCAUGUUGGCCAGGCUGGUCUGGAGCUCCUGACCUCAAGUGAUCCGCCUGCCUCCGCCUUGCAAAGUGCUAGGAUUACAGGCAUGAGCCACCACACCUGGCCUGACUUUGUUUUAAUUACCCAGUUUCUACAUUCUCUUGACUCACCUGCAGAUAGAACAGUAAAUCUCAUUUCUUAUUGGCCAAUUAGAUGUUGUUUUAUGAUUUUUUAACAAAUAGCAGGUUUUCUGGUCUCAUCCGCCUUGAUGUUGGGAUUGCAAAAGGCUCUAUCCAUCAUUUGUGGAUAUUGUCAAACAUAUUUGUAGGUGCAUGCUUUCCUUGGUCUACCAUAAUUCUCUUUUCAAAUCUUGUUGUUCUUCUGCAGGCAUAAGAAGGAACCACUUCAUAGCUUUGGAAUUGGAGGUAGAAAUAACACUCUACUGAAGAAUCGAACUUGGUUGCUGUGUUUAUAGAGAGCAGUCUCUGACCCGAGGAAUGUUCAGAUCCUUGUGCUAACGAGCUGUGUUAUAAUGGAGUUCUCUUGGUCUUAGAACACUGCAUUUUGCUGACAGAAUUCCCUCAGCUCCAUCAUGAAACACGUUUUGGUGCCAGAGAGAUUGAAAUCUGUUGAAACAAAAUGAUUUCCUCAGUUGGUGAUGCAUUUGGGCAUUUUCCAUUCUUGCUAAUGAAAAAAAGAGUCUUUGCUCAUGUGACUGAGAAAGCCUGGUGAAAUAUGCCACGAACAUCCUGAACUGAGUCCUGGCCCCAGAGCACUGAUGGCGAAGUCUUAUAUUUUGACAUGAAGCCCAACAUGGCGUAAAGAGCUAGCCAGCAUUGUAAUGCUGCCUGAGUUGGUCUUUGGCCUUCUCUAGCUUGACUUUUCUGGGGAUUGACUACCCCUGGAUGCCUGGAGCUUUUCAAGAGGCGAUUGUUUCCUUGUGGCUUGUCUAUGCUGACAAUUCCUGGAGACUCCACCUCCUCUUUGAGUUCCCCUGGGCAGGCUCUAUUCCCUAAGAGCGCCACUCUAAGCUUAUUGUUUCAUGGAAAACCAGUCUUUCAAGACAAAGGGUUGUGGGUCAACAAUGGCUUUCCCUUGGAGCUAUUUUUAUUUUACUAGGAGAUUCCUGGUAAAAUUACCAGUGCCUUCAUCGAAGUAAAUAAAUCUGUGAUGUAGGGAAUUUGAGGUAAUUUUGGAAAUUACAGAAACAUGUAAAGAAAAAGAGAAAAAUACAGCUGUGUCAUAACCUCAUUGCUGGAGGCAGCCGCUGUUAACAUCUUGUGGCGAACACUGAGCUUCAUGGCUGACUCUUCACAAUUUGAUGGGGAUCUUGCUAUGUUGCCCAGGCUGACCUUGAACUCCUGACCUCAAGCUGCCCUCUUGCCUCAGCCUCCCGAGUUGCUGGGAUUACAGGUGUGAGCUGCUGCACCUGGCCGAUUUAGUUUUCUGUAUGAGAUUUGGUACUCUGAAUAUUUCUUUCAUCCAGGAGAGAGUUAUUGCUUCUAUGUGCAGAUCUUAUUUGCAUUUGGGAUCAGGGACUGGAAAGGGCUCAGGGGUUUAUAUCAUUGCACCGAUUUACAAGAGGUGUUGACAGCGGGGAGGAGGAUCUGAGAUCAGGGACAUCACGAGGAGGCUGUGCUGAGCCUCAUUUCCUGCUGCCUUGAGCAACGUCUCCCAUUCCAGUGACUGUGGGAGGGCUGUGCCUCAUGGGAGAAGGCUGCUUUAUAGUCUGGGCCUCAGCCCCACGCUCCGGGACUCUCCAUGUGAGGUUGCAAACCAGCCCAGCAAUGGUCCUGGGUCCAGAUGAGCCUUUGUCAACAAUGGGCAACCACUUUGAGAUACCAGCUUGCCCAGACUGGGCAGUUUCUUUCCAGAGGCAAUGUGGUUUUGUUGAUGGAGCGCCUCACUGAGCAUCGGAAGUCCAGCCCUGCCAUUCUUUAACUUGGUGACCUUGAGGAUGUUGUGGGCUGCUUUGAGUCUUGUUCUGGUUUCCUCAGUGAGAAUCAAUGCAGAAAGUUGUAUUAAAGGCACUUGGUAACCAGGAAAGGUCUAAAUACACAUCUGAUAUUGUUAUUACUCCAGAAGCAAUUAUUUCACGCUGCAAAGGUGGAGGUAUUUAACAACUUGGAUAGCAACUGACUUUCUGAGAUUUUAUAAUCAUUGUAACAAUAUCACUUAAAAAAU